ACCCAGGUGCCGCAAUGUAUUCUCUUCUGUACCAGAAUUUGGGACCAAUUGACAGAUGGAAAAGGAGGCAGUUAAGUGAAAAACAAUAGGCCUUAGAUCUGCAAGAAAUUCGAAUUAGAUGAAUUCAGCUACUUGGGCACUGUCUCACAUUUUCAGACCUCUGCAGAAAAGGGGUUAACCGUUUUACUGCACGUAAAAGAGAAGACUAUAACACAUAAUAUGUGUAGGCAUGUAAAUAUCAAAAUAUCAAAAUCCCGUUAGUUGCUAAGACACACAGGGCCUAUUUUUUCUCUCAAAUUCAUGAAUAUGUAGGAGCAGUAAGUGAGAAGUGAAUGUAUACCCUUCACUUCGAAGUCUUUUAGAAAUCUAAAAUAUGACUUUCUAUGGCUUGUGUUUCCAUAUUCCUUUAUUGCCAAUUUGAACAAAUCCACAUGCUUUGAUUCAAAGGUAAUAAAUUCCUCUUAUUUGGAAAAGUGAUGUUUAUUUUUGUUCUCUCACCCUUAGCAGGUGGUUUCAUUUUAGCACACUUCAGAAUUAUAAUUUCAUGCUUAUUAAAAACAUUUAUUAUGAUCUACAUAGAUGAAUGAAACUUUUAUUUUAUUAAAUUAUUCACCAAAAAAUCUGUUAUUUUUAAAAAUGUAUUUCCUUUGAAGGGUUAUUUUAGAGAGUUCAGAGAGUAUCUAGGAGUGUGGUAUUAUGCAAUUUUUAAGUAGGUAUGAAAUGGUUACUUACAUGAUUAUUUCUUUAAGGUUUAUGUAUAUUGUCCAUUAUAUGCUAUAAAAUAUUUUGAAAGUAAAUUUAAGGUAUGUUUUACAUAGUUUAGUUUUUGGAAAAAAAAAAUAUUGAAAUGACUUAUGAAAUUCAGUAUUCUCUCAACAUUAAUUUAUUCUGAAAUUUACCAAAUGUCUAUUGAACCUAUUAUAUGGCAGAUAUUACUCCAGACUACAGUGGUAAAUGAAAUACGUGGCUUUGUAGAACUUUUAUUUUAAUGGGUGAGACAAUUAAAAUCUAUAAACCUUAAUAAAAAUUGCAUAGUGCAUUCAAAAAUGAUGAGUACAAUGGGGAAAAAGAAAAAUUAGAUCAGGGUGAGAAAAAUCAAGGUUGCUAGGCAGGAGAUGGGGAGUUAAAAUUUUUAAUAGGAAGAUCAAGGUAGUUACAAUGAAGAUGACAAUUGAACAAAGGUAUGGAAAGGUGAUGAAUUUGCCCAGAACUAUCAGCAAUAAGGUCACUCCAGACAAAGGAAUUGGCUAUCUUGAAGGUCAUAAGGUUGGAUCGUGCCUGGCGUAUCUGAGGAAUAGCAAGGAGGCCACUGUGAGUGACUGAAGAGUAGCAGGGAAAGAGGUCACAGAGGUUAAAUGAGUGGCUAGAUCAUGUAAAAGCUUAGAAGUCAUUGUAAAACUCUGGCUUUUAUAUUUGGAUACUUACUGUGUGAUAGAAUUUCUGCUAAUAACUGAGAGUUCAAAUGUCCAUAAAAUUUCAAGGAUUCUUAUUCUAGUAAGACAGAAUAAAGAAAAAGAGUUCAUAUCUUCACAUGGUGUAACAAAUGCUCGGAGAUCCAAGUGUAGGAAUCUAUGGGAGCACAGAAGAAGGCACUAAAAUCACACUAAUAUAUUUGAUGACUUUCUGUGACUAUAUAUCAGUUUGUAUUUUCUAGAUAUUUUAUAGUCAUGGAAUCACACAGUAUAUACUAUUUAUUGCCUGGCUUUUCUUUUCUCAGCAUAAUUACUUCAAGAAUCUCCAAAUUGUAAAUAGUUCAUUUUGAUAUUGAAUAGUAAUCUCUUUUAUGAAUAUAUCAUAAUUUGUCUUUGCUCUAUUGAUGGACAUUUCCACUGUUUUCAAUUCUUAAAAAUAAAGCUGCUAUGAAAUUCAUAUACAAGUCCUUGUAUGAACAUAGGGUUUAUUUCUCUUGGUUAAAUGCCUAGAAGUAAAAUGGCUAUUUGUGUAACUGCAACAUAUUUUACAUUUAAAAAAUUUUUCGAACUAUUACCAAAGUGGUUGUAUCAUGAUAUAUGCCAACAACAGUUUAGAUUUUUUGUUGCUUCUCAACCUAGCUCAGACCAGGUACAAUUAGCCUUUAUAAUUUUAGCUAUUCUAAUAGAUAUGUAAGCAUGUGUCAUUAUGAUUUUAAUUUGUAUUUCUUUAAUGUCUAAAUGUUGAGAAAUUUGUCAUGUGCUUAUAAGCAAUCCCUAUACUUUUGGUGACAUAUCUCUUCAAUUAUUUUCUUUGCAUAUAAAAUUGGAUACUCUGUUUGGUUAUUAGUAAGGUUUUUUAUUUUUAUUCAUUUUUUAAUAAUCUGUGUAGGUGUCCAUUAUCAGAUAUAUAAUUUGCAAAUCCCUUCUCCAUCUUUAUGGUUUCUCAAUGGAACUUUGAUAGCUGUGUCUUUCAAGAAAUAUGCUACUUCUUUCCUGGUACAUGGAGGUAUGACUAGAACAUUAUCAAUGUUGACCUUUCCAAGGAAAGUCAUGGCUUAAGAUAUAUGUAGUCUGCGGUUGUUGGGAGUGUUCUGUGAUAUCAAGCAUAUCUAGUUAGUUAAUAAUUUUGUUCAAGUCUU